rnacentral:rRNA from 1 species
CAUUACCGAAUUGUCAACACGAGUUGUUGCUGGUCCCCAGGCCGGGGUCACGUGCACACUCUGUUUACACAUCCACCCACACCUGUGCACCCUCCGUAGCUCUAUGGCCUGGGUGGGUUUGUCCCCCCUUGCUGUGGUUCUACGUAUUUACACACACACACACUGCCAUAAAGUCUCAUGGAAUGUUUGCCGCGUUUAACGCAAUACAAUACAACUUUCAGCAACGGAUCUCUUGGCUCUCGCAUCGAUGAAGAACGCAGCGAAAUGCGAUAAGUAAUGUGAAUUGCAGAAUUCAGUGAAUCAUCGAAUCUUUGAACGCACCUUGCGCCCUUUGGCUAUUCUGAAGGGCAUGCCUGUUUGAGUAUCAUGAACACCUCAACUCCUCAUGGUUUGCCAUGAUGAGCUUGGACUUUGGGGGUCUUGCUGGCCUAUGGUUGGCUCCUCUCAAAUGGAUCAGCUUGCCAGUGUUUGGUGGCAUCACAGGUGUGAUAAAUAUCUACGCUUGUGGUUUCCACCAUAUAGCCUUCAGCGAUGAAGGCUCUCUGGAGCUCACAAAUGUCCCUCCUCAGCGAGGACAGCUUUUGAACAUUUGAUCUCAAAUCAGGUAGGAUUACCCGCUGAACUUAAGCAUAUCAAUA